GAAGUGAGAAUGCCGGUGUGAGUAGCGAAAGACGGGUGAGAAUCCCGUCCACCGAUUGACUAAGGUUUCCAGAGGAAGGCUCGUCCGCUCUGGGUUAGUCGGGUCCUAAGCUGAGGCCGACAGGCGUAGGCGAUGGAUAACAGGUUGAUAUUCCUGUACCACCUAUAAUCGUUUUAAUCGAUGGGGGGACGCAGUAGGAUAGGCGAAGCGUGCGAUUGGAUUGCACGUCUAAGCAGUAAGGCUGAGUAUUAGGCAAAUCCGGUACUCGUUAAGGCUGAGCUGUGAUGGGGAGAAGACAUUGUGUCUUCGAGUCGUUGAUUUCACACUGCCGAGAAAAGCCUCUAGAUAGAAAAUAGGUGCCCGUACCGCAAACCGACACAGGUAGUCAAGAUGAGAAUUCUAAGGUGAGCGAGCGAACUCUCGUUAAGGAACUCGGCAAAAUGACCCCGUAACUUCGGGAGAA
rnacentral:rRNA from 1 species